CUCUCUAUAGAGGCAGAAUCGCCAGAAGCCUGCUUCGCGCCCUGUACCUGUAGAUUCACUGGUGCCCGAGCGAGCUCUGCUUAUGUAAUGCUUUGAGAGAAUGGUCUUCAAAUAAUAGGUUUACCUCAAGAGGCUGGAGUCUCGAUUGAGGUUGAUCUUUAUAAUAACUGAGUGCGAAGUUUGUUGCCAGUUACUGUGAAAAAUGUGCACAUUUUAGCCUUAGAGGGAACACAGAACUCAGGAUAACUAUAAAAAAUAUCCAACAAUGCUACGCCCCAUUUGAAUACACAAGCAACUUCAAUGAGUCCUUUGCUUAGCAUCGGGCCUAACAACCACGAGCCUGUUCCCAGAGGAGAGCAGCUUUGACGUGACACCCCGCCGGCAUGAUGUAGCUCCAGAUUUAGGACUACACCACUGCUCAUGAUAUUCUAAAAUACUCAACAUACUUAUUUAAUGAAAAGAGAAAUAUUGUAACUUUACCAACUUUCAUACAUCAUUCUUCAGAUUAGACAGAUGAAAUCCCCUGGUAUUAUAAACGUAUUGCAAGAAAUUCUGUGUCCCUUCAAUAGUAAAGCCAGCCCUGCUAUUAAGGCCAGAUUUUGUCAGUCAUUGAAUAGCCUUAAUAGUACUAUAAAUAAAUACAUGUUUUCAUUUUCAGCAGCUUCUAACCAGAAUCCCGUGUGCUGCCAUGGACAGUGUGGAGAUGAAAGCUGUCCAGAUUAAAGAGGAGUUCCCUAAACCUGAACUUAUCCCCUUUAGAGUGGAGUUCUUUGGGCUGGCUUCCCUCCGCAUUAAACAGGAGCUCUGUGAGAUGCAAUGUGAAAGCAGUCAGCCAGAGGUCUCUCAGAUUAAAGCUGAGCAGAAUGAAUUGGAGACCCCCCCAGACAGAAGAACCGCUUCCUGUUAAACAAGAGGAGGUGCUGGAAAUUGUCCGUAUUAAACGGGAGACCUCUGAAGUAGAGUUUGACCACAUGGAACCAGGGAAGGAAGUAUCUGAGGACUUCAAACCAAACAUCCCUGAGCUGGAGCCUGUAAGCCUGUGGGAGUGUAGCGUGGUGCUGGAGAGAAUCUGCAUGAGAGAGCAAGGUUCCAGUCUAGCAGCUAAAGGGCAGUGGAGAAUAUCCUGACUGUGGAAAAGGUUUCACGCAGUUAGAGCAUAAAAAAAAAAAAAAUCCAGAUAAUUCAGAGGAGAAAAACCGUAUCGCUGACUGUGGGAAGAGUUUCAGUCACUCGGGACACCUGAAAACACACCAGCGAACUCACACAGGAGAGAAACCAUAUUGUUGCUCUGACUGUGGGAAGAGUUUCAGUCAGUCCGGACACCUUGCUGCACACCAGCUAACUCGCACAGGAGAGAAACCGUAUCGCUGACUGUGGGAAGAGUUUCAUUCGCUCAGGAACCCUGAUAAAACACCAGUAAAUUCACAGAGGAGACGAACUCUAAAGACUAUGUUCAAUGUGAAAAGCAGGGAUGUUUAGAGGUGUCAAUUUCACAAAUAACCAGUUUAUUAUCGAUAACAGUACUGUGAACAAAUGAAAUAUAAACUAAAGGUGAACAAAUCAGGUAAGUAUAAAGAUGGCACGGGUAAUCUGGUAAAUGGAAAACAGAAGCCAAAAAGUAACACAAAGGAGAAAUGGGUGUAGUGUCCGGUGGACCUCAAAUAAACCCACAAACACAAAAACACAAAGUCAAUGGACAGUCAGACAGGGAAAGAUAAAAGCUGAAUGAAAAGAUCACAGCUGGUAACAAUAACAACAGUCUGGGUGGCAAUGGAGGGUGCAUGAAAGUUAGACCUAACAAGUGCAGCAGAGCAACAAUGUAACAGAAUUAAACAACUAAACAAAGUAACAAAAGAACAAAACCAUAAAAUACAGGAAACAAUACAGGAAUACAGGAGUGGACAUUUGAUUGGAGCCAAUGGGUAGAGAAGAUGAACAGAGGGUGGUUGCAAGGAACUGUGGGAAAUGAAGUUUUAACCUGGCCAGGCUAGGUGGGUGAGACUUACACCCACAUUAUGUAGCAUGGGAAUUGCUACAUGUGUUUUGUGAUUACUUUUGUUUUACUGUUUUACUUUGCUCAGUUGUUUUGUGUUAAAUCUUUUUUUAUUUUAUUUUUGCAUGUAAAUAAAAAUAGCGCCAUAAUGCAUGUUUGCAUGCGACUUACCUGAGUUUUGUCAGUUCCUGCUUCUGGCCUGACGUCACCAUUUAGCCAUCCCUGUCACAGUGUCAUGGCUGUAUUAUGACAAUGACUGAAUAUUGCACCACGUGUAGCUUUGCAAUAUGCAUUGUCCAUGCUUGUAUUUGUGCUACUUUUCUAAACUGUCUGUCACUAUAAAUAAUUAUUGUGAUUCCGAACUCCGUUGUAGAUUUCAAAGAUAUUUUAUUCAAUACAGUUGAACAGUUGAGUAUUCCAUUUUCCCUAAGCAUAGGUCAUAACAGAAUCAACAAGACAAUGCAAUGUUGGGAUUUAAUUUAGCUUCUCUUAGACAUCAGCCCUAAUUCCUUAACCUAUGAGAAGAAACAAUUACACAUUGAUGCAGGUUUUACAGUCCUCCUAUCAACCAAUAAUAUCACUGACCACGUGGUUCACUUUCAUUUUAUUACCUGAAGUGAUUGUAACAUCAAAGUUGUCCACUCAGGAAUAAUGAACUUUAAAGGAAGGAAGGAGAUUGGUUUUUAUCCCCAAAAAUGGUUCCUGAAAAAGCACUGCGUCCCCUUUUAAAUUGCCAUUCAGUGCACUUCAAAAUCUUUCCCCUUCCCACCUGUCUUCCUGCUCCAGUAAUUCAUAUUGAGUUUGAUAGUUCAUCGUUCUUUGCUAAGGUAACUCCUCUGUGCUGAAUAAUUGUAAUUGUGUUUUCUUGGCUGUGCUGGGCUGUGUUGGAUUGUGAGGUUGAUUGGAAUAUUGUGUACAGUAAACAGUGAUUAGCAUGUCUUUGUCCUCAGUGGGCGUGUGUUUGUCAGCUCUUUGGCUUGCUGCACAUAAAUUGGCACAUAAGCUCUGCAAACAUUUCGUUUGUGUUUGUAGCUGAAGAAACACGUGCUGUGUGCUCCUGCUCGCUGGCUGAAAUCUGUGCUGCUGGUUGAAUCAACAUCUAAACAGAAUCUCAGCUCCAUGGCAACAGACAAGUGCUGAUCAUGUUCAGCACUGACAUCAAGGUGACGUCAUAAAGGAAAGUGAUGUCAUAAUGUCUCUGGCAGUGAAUUUUAAGCUGAAUCUUCAUUGCAGCAUUUUACUCCCAAGAGGUAUGUGUGUGUGUUUGUGGGAUUUUUACUUCACAUCUGAUCCCUCCUCAUUUCAUUGACCAAUGAAUUCUCAUCCUCGGCAGAUUCAUUUCUAUACAUUUUAUGGAUACAUCUUCCACAUUCUUUUUCUUUCUUCUAGUUCUACACUUUAAAAUGAUGAUUUUAUUUGAAUUGUCUG